CAAUAAAUGUAAACUUGACUUGAGCAAGUGUUUGAAUACAUACCACAGAUAGAGUUGCUUAGGAACCAUGCUAACAAAACCAGUUGUCAAAUGGAUCUAAAGGCUUUUUUAAAGUCAUUAAUGUCCGUUUUUUAAGAUUCUAGCAAGGGGGCAACAAAUUAGGAAGAAAACAGUGUUUGAUCAGCUCAGUGUCUUGUUUUGAGAGUAUUUUAAAUGCAGCUAGUGACAGGGAUUCCUGAGGUUCUUACCCAGUGAAUACUCAGUACUGCCAGUUUCCGGGGUCCCUGCCAGGAUUUCUGUGCUUAAGUUAGAAGCACUGAUCAGGAGGGUUCUGUCUGACUCACCUGUGACGACUGGCCCUUAGCGAGACCAUGGUAUUAAUAAAAAUUAAUCCAAAUUGAAUUGAUACUUUCUAAGCUUUAAUUUGUACAAGAGAGGUGAAUACAGAUAUUCUUAAAUUGUGGUCUUUUAUUUUGCUUGUAUGGUAUUUUAAAAUUAGUACUAAGAAAAUGGAAAGCAUAAUUUAACUAU
rnacentral:lncRNA from 1 species